rnacentral:rRNA from 1 species
UUAAGUGACUAAGCGUACAAGGUGGAUGCCUUGGCAAUCAGAGGCGAAGAAGGACGUGCUAAUCUGCGAAAAGCUUGGAUGAGUCGAUAAGAGGCGUUUAAUCCAAGAUAUCCGAAUGGGGAAACCCAGUAGAUGAAGAAUCUACUAUCAACAAGUGAAUUCAUAGCUUGUUGAGGCAAACCGGGAGAACUGAAACAUCUAAGUACCCCGAGGAAAAGAAAUCAACCGAGAUUUCGUCAGUAGCGGCGAGCGAAAGCGAAAGAGCCAGUAAGUGAUAGCAAUAUAGUUAGGAGAAUGUGUUGGGAAGCACAAUCAAAGAGGGUGAUAAUCCCGUAUCUAAAAACCAUAUUGUGGUACUAAGCUAACGAGAAGUAGGGCGGGACACGUGAUAUCCUGUUUGAAGAAGGGGGGACCAUCCUCCAAGGCUAAAUACUCCUGAUUGACCGAUAGUGAACCAGUACUGUGAAGGAAAGGCGAAAAGAACCCCGGUGAGGGGAGUGAAAUAGAACCUGAAACCUUGUACGUACAAGCAGUGGGAGCCCCAUCACUUAAUCCGAUUGGAAGGUGAUGAAAAGCAACCGCACUUAAACAAUGGUAAGAGGAGCGAAGCGAGUCAAACCACCCAAAAGAAGCAGUGGGAUUAAGUGAUGGGGUGACUGCGUACCUUUUGUAUAAUGGGUCAGCGACUUAUAUUUUGUAGCGAGGUUAACCGAAUAGGGGAGCCGAAGGGAAACCGAGUCUUAACUGGGCGUUGAGUUGCAGGGUAUAGACCCGAAACCCGGUGAUCUAGCCAUGGGCAGGUUGAAGGUUGGGUAACACUAACUGGAGGACCGAACCGACUAAUGUUGAAAAAUUAGCGGAUGACUUGUGGCUGGGGGUGAAAGGCCAAUCAAACCGGGAGAUAGCUGGUUCUCCCCGAAAUCUAUUUAGGUAGAGCCUUGAGGUGACACCUUUGGGGGUAGAGCACUGUUUCGGCUAGGGGUCCAUCCCGGAUUACCAACCCGAUGCAAACUACGAAUACCAAAGAGUGAUACUCAGGAGACACACGGCGGGUGCUAACGUCCGUCGUGGAGAGGGAAACAACCCAGACCGCCAGCUAAGGUCCCCAAGUCUAUAUUAAGUGGGAAACGAAGUGGGAAGGCUUAGACAGCUAGGAUGUUGGCUUAGAAGCAGCCAUCAUUUAAAGAAAGCGUAAUAGCUCACUAGUCGAGUCGGUCUGCGCGGAAGAUGUAACGGGGCUGAAAUAUAGCACCGAAGCUGCGGCAUCAGGCGUAUCACUAAUACGCCUGUUGGGUAGGGGAGCGUUGUGUAAGCGGAUGAAGGUUCAUCGAGAGGUGGGCUGGACGUAUCACAAGUGCGAAUGCUGACAUAAGUAACGAUAAAACGGGUGAAAAACCCGUUCGCCGGAAGACCAAGGGUUCCUGUCCAACGUUAAUCGGGGCAGGGUAAGUCGGCCCCUAAGGCGAGGCUGAAAAGCGUAGUCGAUGGGAAACAGGUUAAUAUUCCUGUACUUGGUAAAGCUGCGAUGUGGGGACGGAGUAGGUUAGGUUAUCGCACUGUUGGAUAUGUGCGUUUAAGUUGGUAGGUGGGAAGUUUAGGCAAAUCCGGACUUCCUUAACACAGAGAGAUGAUGACGAGGCUCUACGGAGCUGAAGUAACUGAUACCACACUUCCAGGAAAAGCCACUAAGCGAAAGGCUUUACUAAACCGUACUGAAAACCGACACAGGUGGUCAGGUAGAGAAUACUCAGGCGCUUGAGAGAACUCGGGUGAAGGAACUAGGCAAAAUAGCACCGUAACUUCGGGAGAAGGUGCGCCGGCGUAGAUUGUAAGGGCUAGCCCCUGAAGGUUGAACCGGUCGAAGUGACCAGCUGGCUGCAACUGUUUAUUAAAAACACAGCACUCUGCAAACACGAAAGUGGAGGUAUAGGGUGUGAUGCCUGCCCGGUGCUGGAAGGUUAAUUGAUGGUGUCAUCGCAAGAGAAGCACCUGAUCGAAGCCCCAGUAAACGGCGGCCGUAACUAUAACGGUCCUAAGGUAGCGAAAUUCCUUGUCGGGUAAGUUCCGACCUGCACGAAUGGCAUAAUGAUGGCCAGGCUGUCUCCACCCGAGACUCAGUGAAAUUGAAAUCGCCGUGAAGAUGCGGUGUACCCGCGGCUAGACGGAAAGACCCCGUGAACCUUUACUAUAGCUUGACACUGAACAUUGAAUUUUGAUGUGUAGGAUAGGUGGGAGACUUUGAAGUAGGAACGCCAGUUUCUAUGGAGUCAUCCUUGAAAUACCACCCUUUAACGUUUGAUGUUCUAACGAAGAUUGCGGAACGUGGUCUCGGACAGUGUCUGGUGGGUAGUUUGACUGGGGCGGUCUCCUCCCAAAGCGUAACGGAGGAGCACGAAGGUUUGCUAAUCACGGUCGGACAUCGUGAGGUUAGUGCAAUGGUAUAAGCAAGCUUAACUGCGAGACAGACAAGUCGAGCAGGUACGAAAGUAGGUCAUAGUGAUCCGGUGGUUCUGAAUGGAAGGGCCAUCGCUCAACGGAUAAAAGGUACUCCGGGGAUAACAGGCUGAUACCGCCCAAGAGUUCAUAUCGACGGCGGUGUUUGGCACCUCGAUGUCGGCUCAUCACAUCCUGGGGCUGAAGUAGGUCCCAAGGGUAUGGCUGUUCGCCAUUUAAAGUGGUACGCGAGCUGGGUUUAGAACGUCGUGAGACAGUUCGGUCCCUAUCUGCCGUGGGCGUAGGAUGAUUGAUUGGGGCUGCUCCUAGUACGAGAGGACCGGAGUGGACGCAUCACUGGUGUUCCAGUUGUCUCGCCAGAGGCAUUGCUGGGUAGCUAAAUGCGGAAGAGAUAAGUGCUGAAAGCAUCUAAGCACGAAACUUGCCAAGAGAUGAGUCAUCCCUGACUUUAAGUCAGUAAGGGUUGUUGUAGACUACGACGUAGAUAGGUCAGGUGUGUAAGUGUAGUGAUACAUUGAGCUAACAGAUACUAAUUGCCCGAGAGGCUUAACUAU